AUGUGUGUGGGGGGGUUAUUUGCCAUUUUUUCUCUUUCCUUUUUUUUUCUCUCCUUCUUUUUGAGCCAUUUUUUCUCUUUCCCUUUUCCCUUUCCCUUUUUUCUCUUGCCUCUUUUCUCUUCCAUUUUCCCUUUCCUUUUUUCCCAUCCUUUUUUCUCUUUAUAUUUUUUGUCUUCCUUUUUCUCUUUCCAGUCUUCAUUUCUUUUUUCUCCUUUUUCCCUUCUUUCUUUCUUGCUUCUUGUUUCUUUUUCUUCUUUUUCUCUUUUCCACUUUCCUUUUUUCUUAUUCCAUUUCCCUUUUCUUUUUCUGCCCCUUUCCUUUCCUUUCCUUUCCUUUCCUUUCCUUUCCUUUCCUUUCCUUUCCUUUCCUUUCCUCCUUCCUUUUUUCCGUCCUUUUUACUCUUCCCCUUUUUCUUUCCUCUCCUUUCCCUUUUCAUUCCUUUCCUUUCCUUUUUCUCUUGACUUAUUUUCUCUUUCCUUUUACUCUUUCCAUUUUUCUCCUCUUUUUUUGCCUUCCCUUUUUUCUCUUUCCUUCUUUUAUCUUCCUCAUUUUCUCUUUUCCUUUUUCUCUUUCUUUCUUCUCUUCCCUUUCUUCUCUUUCUUCUCUUUCCUCCUUUCUUUCCUUUUCUCUUUUCCUUUUCCUCUUUCCUUUGUCUUCCUUUCUUCUCUCUCCAGUCUUUCUUUCUCUUUUCUCCUUUUUCUUUCCUUUCUUUUUUCUCUUCCUUUGUCCUUCCUUCUCUUUCUUUUGGCUCUUUCCUUUUUGCUCUUCCCUUUUUUCUCUCCUCUUUCCUGUUCCCACCCUUGCAUUCUUCUCUUUCAUUUUGUCUCUUCUUUUGCUUUCCCUUCGUUCCCUUUGCUUUCUCCCCUUUUCUUGGUUAUUUCUUUUUUCUCUCUCCUUCUUUCUUUUUUCCUACCUUACCCUCUUUACCUUUUCUUUUUUUCUCUCUUUUUUUCCUUUCAUUCCUUUCUUUCUUUUAUUUCCUUUUUCUUUCCUUUUUCCUUUCCUUUCUUUCUUUCCUUCCCUUUUUCACUGGCUAUUUCUUUUUGCAUUCAUUCCAUGGUUAGCUGUUUCAGAAAGGAACCCUGGAUGUUUCCUUGCAGGCUUGAUCUCUUUUUGGCUCAUGCAAGCAAGCCUGAAGCUCCUGAUCCUUGCCCCCCAGCCCACCCUGUUUCUUACACUCAAAGCACCUCCGGCCAGCCCAGUCUGCCUCAGUACCUGCCCACGACGACCCUGUGGGGCUCUGAUGCCUCCUGCCCCAGGCUCAGCAUGCAACAGUGA
rnacentral:lncRNA from 1 species